rnacentral:rRNA from 2 species
GCGAAGGGCGGCAGCCUACACAUGCAAGUCGAGCGGUAGCACAGAGAGCUUGCUCUCGGGUGACGAGCGGCGGACGGGUGAGUAAUGUCUGGGAAACUGCCUGAUGGAGGGGGAUAACUACUGGAAACGGUAGCUAAUACCGCAUAACGUCGCAAGACCAAAGUGGGGGACCUUCGGGCCUCAUGCCAUCAGAUGUGCCCAGAUGGGAUUAGCUGGUAGGUGGGGUAACGGCUCACCUAGGCGACGAUCCCUAGCUGGUCUGAGAGGAUGACCAGCCACACUGGAACUGAGACACGGUCCAGACUCCUACGGGAGGCAGCAGUGGGGAAUAUUGCACAAUGGGCGCAAGCCUGAUGCAGCCAUGCCGCGUGUGUGAAGAAGGCCUUCGGGUUGUAAAGCACUUUCAGCGGGGAGGAAGGCGGUGAGGUUAAUAACCUCAUCGAUUGACGUUACCCGCAGAAGAAGCACCGGCUAACUCCGUGCCAGCAGCCGCGGUAAUACGGAGGGUGCAAGCGUUAAUCGGAAUUACUGGGCGUAAAGCGCACGCAGGCGGUCUGUCAAGUCGGAUGUGAAAUCCCCGGGCUCAACCUGGGAACUGCAUUCGAAACUGGCAGGCUAGAGUCUUGUAGAGGGGGGUAGAAUUCCAGGUGUAGCGGUGAAAUGCGUAGAGAUCUGGAGGAAUACCGGUGGCGAAGGCGGCCCCCUGGACAAAGACUGACGCUCAGGUGCGAAAGCGUGGGGAGCAAACAGGAUUAGAUACCCUGGUAGUCCACGCUGUAAACGAUGUCGAUUUGGAGGUUGUGCCCUUGAGGCGUGGCUUCCGGAGCUAACGCGUUAAAUCGACCGCCUGGGGAGUACGGCCGCAAGGUUAAAACUCAAAUGAAUUGACGGGGGCCCGCACAAGCGGUGGAGCAUGUGGUUUAAUUCGAUGCAACGCGAAGAACCUUACCUGGUCUUGACAUCCACAGAACUUAGCAGAGAUGCUUUGGUGCCUUCGGGAACUGUGAGACAGGUGCUGCAUGGCUGUCGUCAGCUCGUGUUGUGAAAUGUUGGGUUAAGUCCCGCAACGAGCGCAACCCUUAUCCUUUGUUGCCAGCGGUUAGGCCGGGAACUCAAAGGAGACUGCCAGUGAUAAACUGGAGGAAGGUGGGGAUGACGUCAAGUCAUCAUGGCCCUUACGACCAGGGCUACACACGUGCUACAAUGGCAUAUACAAAGAGAAGCGACCUCGCGAGAGCAAGCGGACCUCAUAAAGUAUGUCGUAGUCCGGAUUGGAGUCUGCAACUCGACUCCAUGAAGUCGGAAUCGCUAGUAAUCGUAGAUCAGAAUGCUACGGUGAAUACGUUCCCGGGCCUUGUACACACCGCCCGUCACACCAUGGGAGUGGGUUGCAAAAGAAGUAGGUAGCUUAACCUUCGGGAGGGCGCUACCACUUUGAUCUUCUGUA